CCUAUCCGCUGUGCGCGUAGGAAUAUUGAGAAGGGCUGUCCCUAGUACGAGAGGACCGGGACGGACGAACCUCUGGUGUGCCAGUUGUUCUGCCAAGGGCAUGGCUGGUUGGCUACGUUCGGAAAGGAUAACCGCUGAAAGCAUCUAAGCGGGAAGCCUGCUUCGAGAUGAGUAUUCCCACCAACUAGAUUGGUUAAGGCUCCCAGUAGACGACUGGGUUGAUAGGCCAGAUGUGGAAGCCCGGUAACGGGUGGAGCUGACUGGUACUAAUAGGCCGAGGGCUUGUCCUC
rnacentral:rRNA from 1 species